rnacentral:rRNA from 1 species
GACGAACGCUGGCGGCGUGCUUAACACAUGCAAGUCGAACGGAAAGGCCCUGCUUUUGUGGGGUGCUCGAGCGGCGAACGGGUGAGUAACACGUGAGUAACCUGCCCUUAACUUUGGGAUAACUUCAGGAAACUGGGGCUAAUACCGGAUAGGAGCUCCUGCUGCAUGGUGGGGGUUGGAGAGUUUCGGCGGUUGGGGAUGGACUCGCGGCUUAUGAGCUUGUUGGUGGGGUAGUGGUUUACCAGGGGUUUGACGGGUAGCCGGCCUGAGAGGGGGACCGGGCACCUGGGUCCUGAGAUACGGCCCAGACUCCUACGGGAGGCAGCAGGGGGGAAUAUUGCACAACGGGCGGAAGCCUGAUGCAGCAACGCCGGGUGCGGGAUGCCGGCCUUCGGGUUGUAAACCGCUUUCGCCUGUGACGAAGCGUGAGUGACGGUAAUGGGUAAAGAAGCACCGGCUAACUACGUG